ensembl:snRNA U6 U6 spliceosomal RNA
UUUUUAAUUAAAAAAAAUUUUUAAAUGAUACAGAGAAGAUUAGCAUGGCCUCUGAAUAAGGUUGACAUGCAAAUCUGUAAGUGCUCCAUUUUUUU